rnacentral:lncRNA from 1 species
GACUCUCAAUGAGGGAAGGCAACCCUGGCACUUGCAUCGGGUGCCCAGGCAACACACAAACACACACGCACACCCCCAGUGCUAUGGCAGCCCUCUCCCAGAGAAGUGAAGUGACUUGCCCAAGGCCAUCCAGCAGAGAAGUGGCAGAGCCGGGAUAAAAACUCGGGUCUUUCUGACUUGCAGGCCAGGGAUCUGUCCACUCGGCCACACUGCUCCUCUUCCUUCCCUCCAGAGCCAUUUUCCACUCCCUCUUCCUCCCCAGCUCCUGGCCCAGAGGAGACUGAGAUUUUGGGAGCCUCAAGCCCAGGGGAGCCAGCCAGGGGCCCGUCACCUUCCCCUCGACUUCCUCCCGGGGGACCAGCCGUGGUCGGGGGGCCCAACCCCGAGAGGCCUGGCUCCCCGCCCACCCGGACUCUCCUUCCAGAUCCGGACGGACGGAACCGGCAUGGCUCCCGGGGCGGGAGGAGUGGAGCCCUCCCUGCCGGGGCACCGUGGGGGCACCGGAUGUUCCGCCCCCUCCGCACUGUGCCACCGAUGACUCCCGGCCUUCAGCACCCACCUGCCAACUCCACCGUGGUUCAGCCGAUCUGAAUGGAUUUGCUGCUGACACAUCUGGGUGAUGGGAGGAGCGGCAGAGACCUCUACCCGCGGUCUGGACCUGUCCGUCACAGAGACACAUUGGGUGCUCCUGGGUUGCUGGCAGGUACUCCAACACUGCUGGAGAGGGGAGAGGGCCGGGGUCGGCCGGGCAGGGCCGGGGUCGGCCGGGCCGGGGGAGGGGAGAGGGCGACCGGGGAGCCGGGCGUUGGGCAGUUGGGCUCCGGUUGAGGCUG